AGACUCCCGUCUGGGAAUCAGACGACUUUCACCGGAAGGAGGAGCGCUCUUCAGGGCAAUGCACCCUGGGCAAUGGAGUCCUCAACGGGCGUAUCCCUAUGCGCUUGCGCAGCUGGAGGGGCCCCCAGCCAACCCCGCAGAGGUUUGAGUGACAUUUCUCCAUCUACAAGCCUGCCACCUCUGGUUGAAGGCCAGCUACGCUGCUUUCUAAAACUUACUGUUAAUAGAGUCAUAUGGAAGAUUGCAAAGCCUCCCACUUGUGUACUUGUCCGAGUGAGAUGGUGGGGAGAAACAUCAGAUGGAACCCUCUUUUAUCCCAGGGAUGCAUUGCAGACUGAACCAAAAGCUGUGAGAACAACUACACGUUACGCUAUUCGUUGUGGUCCAAAACAGUUUACCUCUUAUCUAACAGGUAUGUUAUUGUUUUAUCAUUGCACCUGCAGACAUAAUACAAAGCAUGUGGUUAUAUUGUCAGCAAUAAGUGUUGUUGUGUACCUAGCAUAUAUGGGCAUUCUUAAUUAUU
rnacentral:sRNA from 1 species